AUUGCCUAUCACCUGAUGCCAGAAGAUGAUGAUCGUGAUUGGCAGGUUAAAUGUACAGAGACAAUACGUUGAUAGUAGAAGAUGUUUAGUAACAUUUUAAUAUUUUCCGUCCUGUGAUAAUGUAGUUCAGUUUUGUAUUUAAGAAAUGUUGUUUAUUGUAGAAUGGUAUAGAAAACAGGUGUAGAAAUGAAAUUUAGUACUUCGUAUUAUGAACGUAAAGAAAUCAAAAUUGUUUAGUCUAAUUAUUUACUGUAGAAUGUGAAAUAAAUAUCUCUAUGAAAAGAGUUUUUUUUUAACAUUAUAACAUUUUAUACAGAUGGAUUAAGACAUAUUGCUAUAGUAGAUUUUUAUAUUGCUUAAGGUUAUGA
rnacentral:lncRNA from 1 species